rnacentral:rRNA from 1 species
GGCCCCGCACAAGCAGCGGAGCGUGUGGUUUAAUUCGAUGUUACACGAAGAACCUUACCUGGGAUUGACAUGGAGGUGGUAGGGAAGCGAAAGCGGACCGACUCUUCGGAGAGCCUUCACAGGUGCUGCAUGGCUGUCGUCAGCUCGUGCCGUGAGGUGUCGGGUUAAGUCCCGUAACGAGCGCAACCCUUGCCCUUAGUUACAAGUGUCUAGGGGGACUGCCGGCGGGAAGCCGGAGGAAGGUGGGGAUGACGUCAAGUCAGCAUGGCCCUUAUGUCCAGGGCUACACACACGCUACAAUGGAUGGUACAAAGGGCAGCGAAGCCGCGAGGCGGAGCGAAUCCCGGCAAAGCCAUCCGUAGUACGGAUAGCAGGCUGCAACUCGCCUGCUUGAAGCUGGAGUUGCUAGUAACCGCGCGUCAGCGAUAGUGCGGUGAAUACGUUCCCGGGGCUU